UGGUGGAGUGAUUUGUCUGGUUAAUUCCGUUAACGAACGAGACCUUAGCCUACUAACUAGUCGCCUCGUUGCUAAGCGGGCGCGACUUCUUAGAGGGACUUUGUGACUAAACACAAGGAAGUUUGAGGCAAUAACA
rnacentral:rRNA from 1 species